rnacentral:rRNA from 1 species
AGCAUAUCAAUAAGCGGAGGAAAAGAAACUAACAAGGAUUCCCCUAGUAACUGCGAGUGAAGCGGGAAAAGCUCAAAUUUAAAAUCUGGCAGUCUUUGGCUGUCCGAGUUGUAAUCUAGAGAAGUAUUAUCCGCGCUGGACCGUGUACAAGUCUCCUGGAAUGGGGCGUCAUAGAGGGUGAGAAUCCCGUCUUUGACACGGACUGCCAGGGCUUUGUGAUGUGCUCUCAAAGAGUCGAGUUGUUUGGGAAUGCAGCUCAAAAUGGGUGGUAAAUUCCAUCUAAAGCUAAAUAUUGGCGAGAGACCGAUAGCGAACAAGUACCGUGAGGGAAAGAUGAAAAGAACUUUGGAAAGAGAGUUAAACAGUACGUGAAAUUGCUGAAAGGGAAACGCUUGAAGUCAGUCGCGUUGGCCAGGGAUCAACCUUGCUUUUUUGCUUGGCUUACUUUCUGGUCGAUGGGUCAGCAUCAAUUUUGACUGGUGGAAAAAGUUCAAGGGAAUGUGGCAUCUUCGGAUGUGUUAUAGCCUUUGUUCGCAUACAUCAGUUGGGAUUGAGGAACUCAGCACGCCGCAAGGCCGGGUUUUUAACCACGUACGUGCUUAGGAUGCUGGCAUAAUGGCUUUAAUCGACCCGUCUUGAAACACGGACCAAGGAGUCUAACAUGCCUGCGAGUGUUUGGGUGMAAAACCCGAGCGCGUAAUGAAAGUGAAAGUUGAGAUCCCUGUCGCGGGGAGCAUUGACGCCCGGAUCUGACCUUUUGUGACGAUUCUGCGGUAGAGCAUGUAUGUUGGGACCCGAAAGAUGGUGAACUAUGCCUGAAUAGGGUGAAGCCAGAGGAAACUCUGGUGGAGGCUCGUAGCGAUUCUGACGUGCAAAUCGAUCGUCAAAUUUGGGUAUAGGGGCGAAAGACUAAUCGAACCAUCUAGUAGCUGGUUCCUGCCGAGU